rnacentral:rRNA from 1 species
AGUUGCCAGCAUUCGGUUGGGCACUCUAGAGGGACUGCCGGCGACAAGUCGGAGGAAGGUGGGGAUGACGUCAAAUCAUCAUGCCCCUUAUGACCUGGGCUACACACGUGCUACAAUGGGCGGUACAAAGGGCUGCGAACCCGCGAGGGGGAGCGAAUCCCAAAAAGCCGACUCUCAGUUCGGAUUGCAGGCUGCAACUCGCCUGCAUGAAGCCGGAAUCGCUAGUAAUCGCGGAUCAGCAUGCCGCGGUGAAUACGUUCCCGGGCCUU